CUUUAUCCCCGUGGUGAUUUGGCCGGUCGGCUUGCAGCCACGUUAAAGAAGUCGCUAAAAAGGCCGUGCUCGAAGCUCG
rnacentral:ncRNA from 2 species